AAGCUCUGGAAAGCUUUGUGUUGGAAUUCACAUAAAGGAAAAAGGUGCAAGCAGUGGAAUCUCCAAACUGGGCCAGGAGUGUGAGCAAUGAAGAUAUGAGAAUACAGAAAUCCAGUCUAAGUAUUGCAACUAACCCAGCAUGAAAUUCAGAGAAGUUUGGGUCCAAGACUCAGGUGGAGCGGAAGCUAUCAGUGAUGCUGCCUUUGGAUGGCAACUUGACGAAACUAACAUCACAUAGGAAUGGAAAUAAAUUUGGAGUCUAUUCCCUCCCUCUGGCCCAACACUGAAGCAAUGAAGGGAGAUUGUGCCAUUGAGGUGUUGGGGGAAAUGUUUAUACUUUAUUCUAGCUAUAUCUUUGAAGUAAAUAUUCCUUUGUAAAAGUUAAAACAAUGACAUAAAUAAUAUACCCCAGGUCUUAUACAUACUACCGAAAUGGUUGGGUUGGUUUCAAAAUAUUUAUGGCUUUGGACUCCCCCCAUCCCCAAUUAUACUUGAAUACUUUGGACUAUUUGGGUAAAUUGUGAUUACGAAUGAGAAUUUUGGAUUGGGAAUGGAGGUGCGCUUGAAUUAUAGCCCGCUAUUCUUUCAUAUCUCACUCGGUGGCUCUCCUUUGGUUAUGAUAGCAGCAACAAAAGGGGCAAAAGAGUCACUCAUCCUUAUCUGAAACAUGAGGAAAAUAACAUUUAUAUUAUCUAUCUAGAGUGGCAAGACAAAGGGACUAUCUUUGUGUGCUCUAGGAGUGGAAUUAUAUUCUAUUUUAGAGGUGUUAAACAAAGCUGAUUACAUGCCGAGUCUUGUCUUCCCUGUGAUCAAAGGGAAGGGAGCUAUCUUUUUAGUUAUCCAAAUAAUUACUCAGUAACAUGAUGGAGGGGGCAGCUAGGUGGUAUACAGUGGAUAUGAUGCCAGAACUGGAGUCAGAAAGUCUCAUCUUUUUGAAUUCAAAACCUUAAUGCUCGGCAAGUCACUUAAUCCUGUUUACCUCAGGUUCCUUAUUUGUAAAAAUGAACUGGAGAAGGAGAUGGCAAAACACUCCAGAUCUUUGCUGAGAAACCUUCAAAUGUGUCCCAAAGAGUCAGACACAAUUGACAUGACUGAACAAUAUGGUGAAGAAGCAAGGCUGGUUAGAGAUGAAGUUGGCUUUGGAGACCAAGCAAAUGAACUCAUUCCAGAAAAUCUAGAUAGAUGAAUUUGGGGUUGGGCAUGGGAGGUGAGCUUGAACUGUAGUCCCCUGUUCUUUCUUAUCUCACUUGGCUGCUCAUCUUUGGAUUUCUCCACUAUGUUUCUAGAAAGAGUCUGGUAGUCUCAGGGAAAAGGGAGAAGGUUAUGAUGGCAGCAGCAGAAGAGGCAAAGAGGGUUGAUUGAGCCUUAUCACCCUUUAACACCAUGAUAGCAUUUUAGUCAAUUCUUGAGCUGAGCCUAGUAGACUUAGCUCAGCAAAGCCAAAGCUAAGACUGGCUCAAUGCCUUUGGCUAAAAUGGCACCUUCCCCAUCCCACACAGGUUUUCCUUCAGUUCAUUCUCCUUAUAGGUCUCUAUGUCUGGGAGAUAAACAGGAUUCAUAAUCAUUCUGAACAAUUAUGAACGAAUUGGGCUUAUAUUCCCCAUCUCCCACCCCAGUUUUUAUUGAAGGAAAAACAUGACUCCCAUUAUUCCUUUGAGGAACAGCCUUUCCCGGCCCCACUUUUAAAACACAACCAUUCAGUAACUAAGAAUUCUGAAGCUGAUGAACAACAAGAAUUUUUUGAAAAAAUUAAAAAAGCAUAAAAACCAAAAGUGAAUCAGGAAUCAGAGAACUCAUGGAGUUAUCACUAACAAGACACAAAUUGGCUUUUCUUCUCUCUUUCUUUGUCUGGCCUGGGAAAAGACUGGGUUAUUCUGGACUAAUGGACUGGUUGGGUCAUACUCCUAGAGAAGGCUUGCCCCAUGCUCUCAUUUGAUCAUUGUGACCACCCUAGCAGGUAAAAAGUGGGGAAACUAAGGCUGACUUUAAGGGCUUCAGAAUGAAGAAAGGGUAAGAAAGGUAUCUGGAAUCAGGCCAUCUGUUUUACUAUUUAUUCAUCUUGGACAUCGUCCCAUCUGGUUUGUAACUUUCCCUUCUCUAUCAUACUCACUAGUGAGACCCUAUAACCUUCAUCCAGCCAGGCAAUGACCAGUAUUCAUGACUAAGCUCCCUGCCUAGAUGAUCCAGGACAUGGUACUGGCCAGCCCAGACCCCUAGUAUCUCCGGCAUGGUUGCUCUUCUUCUUGGGAGUAUAUCCGGCUCAGGUGUUUUGGGGAAGACUGGGUAACACUGUUUGUCCAGAGAUACCAAGUUUCCCUGGUAACACCUUUUGGAAAAGACAGGCAUAGGAUUACCUAAUUUUUCUCUUGAAAAUAAAUCCUAGAAAAACUUCCAUGAUGUAGAAUAUGGUUGUUGUUUGUCCUGUGUUCUCGAAGAGGACCAUGACGUCAGGCAGGUGACUCCAUGACACACAAGUGAAUUGGAUUUAAGUCAGGGAAGACUGACAAGGUCACCUGCCUUACUUUCCCCUCCAGAGCCAUCUAGGACCAGUGACCAGAUAGCGAUCAGGAUGAAUGGAGAUGGCCGUGGAUGAAAUAAUAAUAGAAUGUGGUAGUCUAAGAGAGAAGGGAAGCACUUAGUGUUAUUCUUUCAUGGCAGAAGAGGCAAAAGUUAAUCUGUUGAAGACUUCUGAACUCGGGAAAGCUAACCUGCUCAAAGACCAGUGUUGGAUACAUGGCUCUGCCGUCAAUAUGUUCUUCAUCAAGGUUUUAUUUUGUGGAGUAAUGAGGCACUUUUAAAUUGUCGAACACUUAACAAAGGAGCUUUACUUUGCUUAAACACAGUAAGGAUCCAUGGACUUAGUAGAAGAAGCCCUGGCUUCCCUUGCCUUCAUGAAUAAAUGUGUUGGAUCAGCAACUCUCCAGGAUAUGGUGAUUUGUAUAGUCUCAGGCACCUGUCAAAUUACAGGGACCCAGACUACACAUGGCUGGGGCUUUUUGUACCUUGACUAGGAAGCUGCAUCAGGGAAGCUGGGGCUGAAAGUAUUAGAAAAAUGCUGAGUUCUGUCACAUUUAAGAACAUCAUGAUAGCUCAGGGUCUUGGGUAGGAACUUUGGAAUUAAUCAAAGUAUAGAAAGUAAAAAAAGGCCCUGGGGCUUAAAUUCUUCCAGAAAAGCAUCUUAUCAACAACUGACAUCUUAAGAUUUGUGAAACAUUUUACAAUCAUGAUCUCAUUUGAUCAUCAUGACAACUCUAAGAGGUAACAGAUGAAGAAACUGAGGCUGACAUUAAAGGACUUCCCUAAGAUCAUACAGAGAGUAAGUGUCUAAGGCUGGAUUUGAAUUCACACAUCUUUCUGGCUGCAGUCCAAUGCUCUAUCUACUGUGCCAUCCAGCUGCCCCUAAGAGCUGCUUCUACUUAUACGAUAAAAGUUUUCUUCCACAUCCUCCCCAGGCUCCUUACAAUGUAGGGACUUUUUGGAAAGAUGCUUACAACUCUGGAAAAAGCAGAAGGAGCUCCCUGAUGCCAGCAUCAUUUUGGUGUUCCUACAUUGCUUGUUCAGAUCUUUCCUUGCUCUUAGCUGCCCUUUUCAUUUUUUCCAUGCCGACCAGAGCUUUAUGAAUAAUGAAUUUUCAAGAAACCAGAUGAAUGAUCUUCAGCACUAGCCAUAUGUCAAAAUGUUAGCUUCUCUUAAUUGUAUAAAAUAUAUAAAUGUGAUUGCUUUAUGCCCCCUCAGUUACCUCUGGUAACAAUGAAUGUCCCUUAUGGGUUUAGUAAAAUCACCUUAAAAGCCUGGCUCCUCUAACUUUCUGGUUGAACUCUGUUGGAGAUUCAGUCUCAGUGGUCGCUCCAACUAAAGAUAUUUGGUGGCAUGGAAACACUUGUCAGAUUUAAACGUCUCUUAAAACCAAAGGCAAUGAUCAGGAAGCUGGUGUAGUGGAAACUGCAUUGUGUCCAGUCGAACCAAGAAGCAAAUUUAUCUGCCAAAAAGCUUUGCACAGUCCGGUACAAUUCUUGGGAGUAGAAAAUGAGUGUUUAGCCAGAUUGGGUUUGAGGGCACAUAAGAAUGCUCCAGAGGAAGAGCACAAAUCAGAGGAUGGAAGCUCAAGCUACAAGGUUGUCAUCUGAAGGCACUUAAUUAUGUUAUUGCUUGCAGAAAUGUGCCAAGGAGAGUCAAAACAAAGCCGGCUGUCCUAUUUCUCUUUAAGUCUAACAACAAUGAUAAUUAGCAUGUACGUAGGAGAUUGAAUAAUGUCCAGGAUAAAUACGGGAUUAACUAUUCUUUUGUUAGACUUUUUCUUUGUUGAAAUAAUAAGAUCAAGGCUUGCUUUGGAUGUAGUUAUGAGACCUCAAUCGUGUGGCAGAGAAAGGUAGUCCUACAACUCAUAUGUCAUGUUCUGUCAUCUUGGUUGUUCUUUAUGUUUGGGAUUAGUCCAGAACUUGCUUGGGUCUCCUUUGAAGAAUCAAAUCUUUAUUCAAGAAAGGAAUGCAAAAAAGGAAGGGUUUAAAUGAUUCCUUAUUUUUGGAUUUGAACAUUGAACAAUUAAUCUAGCAAAAAAAAAUGU
ensembl:lncRNA